rnacentral:rRNA from 1 species
UUGGAGGGCAAGUCUGGUGCCAGCAGCCGCGGUAAUUCCAGCUCCAAUAGCGUAUAUUAAAGUUGUUGCAGUUAAAAAGCUCGUAGUUGAAUUUCGGGAUCAAUUUAUCGGUCGUGCCUACGGUAUGAACUGGUACAAUUGGUUUCUCCCUUCUGACGAAGCAUGAUGUCAUUAAUUUGGUGUCGUGGGGAAUCAGGACUGUUACUUUGAAAAAAUUAGAGCGUUUAAAGCAAGCAUUAGCUUGAAUACAUUAGCAUGGAAUAAUGAAAUAGGACGUUUGAUCCUAUUUCGUUGGUUUCUAGGAUCGACGUAAUGAUUAAUAGGGAUAGUUGGGGGCAUUAGUAUUCAAUUGUCAGAGGUGAAAUUCUUGGAUUUAUUGAAGACUAACUACUGCGAAAGCAUUUGCCAAGGAUGUUUUCAUUAAUCAAGAACGAAAGUUAGGGGAUCGAAGACGAUCAGAUACCGUCGUAGUCUUAACCAUAAACUAUGCCGACUAGGGAUCGGAUGAUGUUAAUUUUUUAAUGACUCAUUCGGCGCCUUACGGGAAAC